rnacentral:rRNA from 1 species
UGGUAAUACCGGAUGCUCCGCUCCAUCGCAUGGUGGGGUGGGAAAUGCUUUUGCGGCAUGGGAUGGGGUCGCGUCCUAUCAGCUUGUUGGCGGGGUGAUGGCCCACCAAGGCGUUGACGGGUAGCCGGCCUGAGAGGGUGACCGGCCACAUUGGGACUGAGAUACGGCCCAGACUCCUACGGGAGGCAGCAGUGGGGAAUAUUGCACAAUGGGCGCAAGCCUGAUGCAGCGACGCCGCGUGCGGGAUGGAGGCCUUCGGGUUGUAAACCGCUUUUGUUCAAGGGCAAGGCACGGUUUCGGCCGUGUUGAGUGGAUUGUUCGAAUAAGCACCGGCUAACUACGUGCCAGCAGCCGCGGUAAUACGUAGGGUGCGAGCGUUAUCCGGAUUUAUUGGGCGUAAAGGGCUCGUAGGCGGUUCGUCGCGUCCGGUGUGAAAGUCCAUCGCCUAACGGUGGAUCUGCGCCGGGUACGGGCGGGCUGGAGUGCGGUAGGGGAGACUGGAAUUCCCGGUGUAACGGUGGAAUGUGUAGAUAUCGGAAAGAACACC